GCCAGUGUUACCCAAUUAGUCCUAGAAUUCACGAAAGAAGAUCUGAAUCGAUCCUGGACGAGCCCCCAGAAAAUGUCAUGUUGCCUAUCCACGGGCUGCUGGUUAGGGUGUAUCGCGUCGAGCUGGUGAUAGACCACUCAGGGACCUGGCUGUUAGGGAUGUCAGCUUUUAUUUCUACCCGAGCUGACACUGACCACCCCAAGCAGAGGAGUUAUAGCCUGGGAGCAGGCUACCACAAAGAACAUCAAACGAAUAAGAAUCAACACGAGAUCACCCACACACAUCCAAUCACACCUCAUGUCCCUACCGCUUUCACGAGACUCACACAGAAGCUUUGGGGGAAGGGGGGGGGGGGUCAUCCACAUCCCCUACACAACUCUGCUUUACAGAGUGCCCCGUGUUUCUUCUCCAGAGUUUCCACCCCUCCCCUGCUAACCCCUCUUCAGACAGUGGGAGAUGUCCGUGGGCAACCAGGCAGCCACCCCGGUAACCAGAUGGCCACAGACUUCACUCUUGGCCAGUGUUGUAUAUAUAGGCCUUUUUCCAAAAAUUAAUAUUAAGAAUAAUUCUGCCAAUAUUUUUUGUUAAAUAAUCAAUCGGGGUGUAGUAUGAGGCACAAAACAAAUGUAACAACCACCCUCACCCCUCACAGCAGCUGUCUUUCACAAGGAACCAGGCAAGGAAGUUGCCAUGAAAGGUUUUACAACAAAAAAACCCCGGUGCAAAAAGGGGAGGGGGGGUUGCUAAUGAGAUUCUGGGGAAAUCUCUACACAGCUUCAAAGACUGCCUCAAAAGCACGUACAAACAGGCGCCAUGAGGGCUGAACAGACAGCUGUUUUUUUAAUUGUUUUUUGUUGUUUCUCUUAAUAUAACGGUACAAGUUCGGAACUUGGCUUAUACGAAUAAGUCGACAUCAUAGACUGCCAACACACUCACCCAGAUUAAAAACAGUCUACAUUAGUGGCUUUUUAUUACUUACCUUAUUUUAGCCUUAUUCACCCUAUAUAUUGUUUGUUAUUGUAUCGUUUUAUCUACGUGACUUUACCGAAAUAACCAAAGAGUAUGGAUUCCUGCAGUCACGAAAGCUUCAAAUAUCGAUAGACCAAAUAAUACUUGGGAAGUAUUAGACCAAGGGUCAUCCAGAAGAGAUACAAGGCGAAAUAGGUCAAUCACACAUGACCAAGAUAAAAUAUAUCCCAUAGAAUCAGUCUCCAACCACCUUUGUCUCCCAGCAGCACAUAGUAGCAAAAAUCACAUACACAUGAGGAGGACACCUCCCCUUUGAGAUAUCAAACACCAUGAAGGAAUUCCAAACCACGAUGCAAGUACUGUAAACACUGCUCCAAACAUACCUUGAGUCACUUAGAGUGAAAACUGCAAAAAGUGGUACGGUAUCAAGCUAUAAGGAGGUAAAAUGAUAUUUUUAACUUCCAACCGGUACGAGAGAAUACGACUUCAAAGGCCACAGCACCCCUAUUUGAGAGAGGCAACAAUGUAACACCAAAACCAUGAAGAGGGAGAACGCAACCGGAUAGGGGGACCCCCCCCCCCUUCUUCCAAAUUAAUUAUUACAGAGGGUUGGAGGACUGGAAGGUCACACUUGGUGGCAAUUUGGAGCUUCUGUCCAGUGGUGGCAGGGUGGCUUGGCGAGAGGGACAGAAACCAAGCCUUGAUGAGACAUUACUUUAAUAAAAUUAGCACACACACACCGGACAAACAGCUGUUCCCACAGGCUGAGAGCGAAAUCAAAGGAAUUCCAGUCCGUUGUGAGAAGGCGAGCCGAGGUGGGCGAAUUUCACAUAUAAGCAAGGACACAGAUCAUGCAACUCGGGGCUGUGAGCGGCAGGCUCCGGGAUCUGCCCCCGAGACAGGCACAUCGAUAGGGAGCGGCAUCAGCAGAAGCCACGAGUCGCGGAGUUCGUCUUUUGUUUUUCGUUUUUUUUUAUUGUUUCUUUCACCAUUGAGAGCAUAACCAGCGCAACCGAGCAAGAGCCGUCGGCACCGUUUACCAGCGGACGCGCUGUGAGCGCGAUCUAGCGCCUUCAAAGACAAGCGUCGUGCCGACUCAGCUCAUCCAGCAGUGGACAAGUAGGUGCAGCUGCCACCUCGAGAGAGGGAGAGAGGGAGAGCCGUGUGUAUGACACUCCCACACUCACGGCUCAUCGCUCAAUAGAGAACCAAGGCAUUUUUGGUACCAGAAACGCCCCACCUCAGCGUCUGCUUAAAGCAAAGAGUUGAACAAGGAGUCGAUACACCAACACCAAGGGCGCCGUAAAGGGGUGGAAGGUUAGGACGAUUCUAUGGGCCCAGGCUGAUUUAGGGCCCAGAAGAGCAGACCCCCUUUUUCUUUUCUUAUUUCUUUUCUCUUUUUUAUACAUACAUUAAAUGUGCUAGGGCCCCUCAUGCACUGAAUGGUUCAUUCCACCUGCGCUGUCCGAGCUACGAUCGCUAGUGUAGCGUCUCUUGCUUAUUGCACUUGCUAUGAUGCAGUGCAGACAGUGACACACGCAGGCAUGUCACAUCAAAAGUCAGGGCAUCAAAAACGGAAAGAAAAGAAGGAAAGAGAAGACAGAACGCCGAAGUCGACAGUAUGUCACGCAGUUUUUCAAAAAGAAAGGUAGAUUGCCCUAUUCCUGUAUUCCAAAACUUUCAGAGUUACUUAUUUUUGUUGCUACAUGACCUGCUUUUAUCUAGCUAGCUUAGUAAAAUAAUUACUGAAUUAUGAUUUACAUCCAACAAUAAUAACAUCUCUGCUGUCUCCGGGGUUAUCAUGUCUCGUAGACACAGAUUCAGCGGCUGCUGCACACCCACGUCCUCCUUCCCCCACGUCCCCCGUCCCCGUCUCAGUCAAACAAGAUGCAGUCAGCUUUAUUGUCUGCACCUCGUUCUACUAAUGACCCAGUUCUCUCAGUGUCAG